GUCUUUUGUUUGUGUAGAGUCGGCAUGACGCCUUCUCAGUUUAUGCGUUCAAGAAAUCAAAAGCUUUUUUGGAGUUAAAAUAAGGGCGGGCAAAGGCUUGCGCCUUCCCCCGGCCCCCGGCCCCAAGCAGGCGAACCGGCCUGGAGCAACUGUUCACACGUAAAAGAGGGUAUGGUGUGGUAUGAUAUUUAGAGGUUCAAUGAUGAUCCUUCCGCAGGUUCACCUACGGAAA
rnacentral:misc_RNA from 1 species